UACACACAUUCACUUGGUGUAAUGUAGUGUGAUAGCUUUCCACCUCCCUCAAUGCUUCUGUGUUUCCAUUAUUGAAGCAUAAAUCCAACCCUUUUGUUUACCUACCUUUGCUUCUUCAUUCACAUUCAUUUUCUGUUUUGGGCUUUUCUCCUUUUCUCACCCACUCUUAAUUAUUGGGUUUUUGGUUUUGCCCUCAAUUAGGUGGGGUUUUAACUUUUAAGGUUUUAUGUGAUGUUCAUUAGGCUCUUUAAAAAGUGAUAUACAGAUAAAUAUUGUUUUCAGUAUAAGUUUGUGUAAUGGAGUCUUGGAGUUAUGUUUCUGGGGAGAGAGGGUUUGUGUCUGAAGAUUCUGAUGUUAUUGCAAGAGGAAGAAAUGGAGCAAUGGAUUGGGAAUUUAAGUCCCCUUUUUAUGGUAGUCAUAAUAAUGAUAAUAACGUUGGAUUAGGAUCUUCAAGUCAAGAGGGUAUAGAGAACAUGGGAAUUCUUGACUUGGGUCAUCAAGAAACACUGAGAAAAUCUAUAUCUAAUGGCUCAAUUAAGGAUGCUUUAGGUACCAAGCUUAGUGGUGUAAGAAUGUUCAAUUCGCUUGCGGAAAAUGCCUUCUGGGGAGAAGAAGAGCCUAGUGCUAAGCUUCCUAGCUCAAUCAUGGACUUCAAUUCUGCAGAUUCAUCUCUCAUUGAUUUGAAGUUGGGGAGGUUUGAUGAUCAAAGAGAUGUUCAGAAAUUGCCUAGCUCUCGAGUGGCUCCCAAUAUUUAUUCAAAUGAUACGGUGUCUGUUACGGGGAAGAGAACUCGAGUGGGGGGCUUGAAUUCUCUGACCCCCUAUUGCCAGGUUUAUGGAUGCAAGAAAGAUCUGAGCUCAUGUAAAGAUUAUCACAAGAGGCAUAAAGUUUGUGAGGUUCACUCCAAGACUCCUAAAGUUAUUGUUAAUGGCAUUGAACAAAGAUUUUGUCAGCAAUGCAGCAGGUUCCACUUGUUGGUUGAAUUUGAUGAUGGUAAGCGUAGCUGCCGGAAACGUCUUGCUGGGCACAAUGAGCGACGCAGGAAACCUCAUGCGGGUAUUCACUCUGUUAGAUCGAGGUUGUAUCCGACAUAUAAUAAUGGUUCUGCAGUUGGCAGGUUUCAGGAGACGACUGUAUCAACAUCGUCUUUCAUUCGCCAAGAUGUUCUUCCAGGGUACCUUUCUCAGCCACAAAAGUUGGCUUCAAAUGACUACUGGUCUAAGCAUAUAAAACUUGAAGAAGCGGAUAAUUAUAGUUCACAGUCAGCAAUAACCGUUGCAGGUGGAGGGUUCCAUCCAAGAUCCCAUUUUCCUUCCUAUGGUUUUGAUAAACAUUGCCUGUCUACGGAUAGAAAUGGUAUAUACCACAUGUCGGAAAGCAAAUCCAGUAAAAACAGUAACUUGUUUCGAAAUGCCUCAUCAGGAAGUGAAACUUUUACUGGUUUUGACUCGCCAUUAACUGUUCAAGCGCUAUCAGGGUUUCCCGACUCUGGUCGUGCUCUCUCUCUUCUGUCAUCUCAAUCACAAACUUCUUCAAGCCAUACCUCAGGAAUACUCAUGGCAUAUCCCUUGAUCAUCCCAGGCAGCCAUGAGCACUAUACUGUAAAUCAAGUAUCAGAGAAACCCUUAGGACUGAGCCCACAAGUUUCAAAGAAUGAAAUUUCGAAUAAAUUUAUUUCAUCUGGGAUGAAUUCUGCAGAGAAUCACUUGAACCGAAUGAUCACUACAAGUGGUAGUAAUGCUGUCGUCAGCUAUGGGAUCGAUGGGAUGUUUCACGGUUCUAAUUACAUAAAUGGUGGUAAGGAACACCUUUCUUGUGGAGAUGAACCCACUAUUGAUAUGCUACAGUUGUCAUCACAGCUUCAGCGAGUGGAGGAUCAAAGACAAUCUCUGCAUGAAAAGCCUAGAAAUGAUUCUUUCCUGUAGCUUCCAGGUCACUUAUAAUGUCUAGGGAAUAAGAUCAACGUUAUCGUUUGUGACAGGGGCCAAGUGCUAAGAAGCAGUUAACUAGAGAAAAAAGAACUCAGAAUUUCAGAUUUUCAUAGGAUCUCAGCCUAGGAAGUAGAGAUAGACGCUUAACCGGCGCCUGACUGUUCCAAUUAUGCUUAUUAGCGACUCACAUUCCUGCUCCAUCAUUAUCUUGACACCCGUUUUCCAUUGAAACGCGACGUAACCAGCACCAUCGGACUUGAACAAAACAACAGCAUCAUCAGAAUCAAAAAAACUGUGAGGCCUAAGAACAGGACCAACAAGCAAAAGAGUAGUCCAGAGCUUGACUCCAAGUUAAGCUAGAGACAACUGAUUGCCACCUGGAUACAAAUCAUCUCUUAAUUGCAAUGCUGGAUUACGGAGAAUCUCCUCGUAUUCGAGCCCUCAGACACCCCAAGAUACAAUUUCUGAAGCGUGGGCUGGAUGAUCCACUUCCUUGCAAUCUCCUGUUUAAGUGAUGAUAAUGUUGUGUGCUUUGUAUCAACAUCCACAUUCAAAACCACAGAAAUUCCACUUUGUUUUGAUGAA